rnacentral:rRNA from 1 species
UGUACACACCGCCCGUCACACCACGAGAGUUUACAACACCCGAAGUCGGUGGGGUAACCGCAAGGAGCCAGCCGCCGAAGGUGGGGUAGAUGAUUGGGGUGAAGUCGUAACAAGGUAGCCGUAUCGGAAGGUGCGGCUGGAUCACCUCCUUU